rnacentral:rRNA from 1 species
AACGAACGCUGGCGGCGCGCCUAAUACAUGCAAGUCGAGCGAGAAGGUGUAGCAAUACACUUGUAAAGCGGCGAACGGGUGAGGAAUACAUGGGUAACCUACCCUCGAGUGGGGAAUAACUAGCCGAAAGGUUAGCUAAUACCGCAUACGAUUCCAGGACUUCGGUUUUGGAAGGAAAGCACUACUGUGGGUAGUGCGCUCCUGGAUGGGCUCAUGUCCUAUCAGCUUGUUGGGAGGUAAUGGCUCACCAAGGCUUCGACGGGUAGCUGGUCUGAGAGGACGAUCAGCCACACUGGCACUGCGACACAGGCCAGACUCCUACGGGAGGCAGCAGUAAGGAAUAUUGCGCAAUGGGCGACAGCCUGACGCAGCGACGCCGCGUGGGGGAUGAAGGUCUUCGGAUUGUAAACCCCUUUCGGGAGGGAAGAGGGAAGUGGGGCAACCCAUUCGGACGGUACCUCCAGAAGCAGCCACGGCUAACUUCGUGCCA